rnacentral:rRNA from 1 species
AACGAACGCUGGCGGCAGGCCUAACACAUGCAAGUCGAACGAAGUCUUCGGACUUAGUGGCGCACGGGUGAGUAACACGUGGGAAUAUACCUUACGCUGGGGGAUAACAUCGGGAAACUGAUGCUAAUACCGCAUACGCCCUCCGGGGGAAAGAUUUAUCGGCGAAAGAUUAGCCCGCGUCCGAUUAGCUAGUUGGUGAGGUAAUGGCUCACCAAGGCUCCGAUCGGUAGCUGGUCUGAGAGGAUGACCAGCCACACUGGGACUGAGACACGGCCCAGACUCCUACGGGAGGGAGCAGUGGGGGAUAUUGGACAAUGGGCGCAAGGCUGAUCCAGCCAGGCCGGGUGAGUGAUGAAGGCCUUAGGGUUGUAAAGCUCUUUCACCCACGACGAUGAUGACGGUAGUGGGAGAAGAAGCCCCGGCUAACUUCGUG